CACGGGCAAAUAGCCGGUUCCUAGCGCCCUAACCAGCCUCCCAGGCCGAGCGACCCAAACAGUGCAGGCCUUAUCUAGGCCUCGGGCCCCGGAAGGCAGCCGAGAAGGGACAAAACGUCUCGCCUCAGUGUCGAAGGCCCGUAUUCCAACAACCGCGGGCCCCAAGCGUCGAGGUCUGGAGUCCGUGCGGCCUAAGGCAAACAGGCCAGCGUCCAAGCCCAAGAUGCCCAUCCCCAGGGGGCAAAUCCUCAAACGUGAACCUGAUCACUUGUCACAGAAGCAACUUGCCAUGAAAUCCGCUAAUGCGCCGCGACUCGCCCACCCGGGCUGGUUCCCGCUUUCUAAAUCUCCCAGGUGGCUUGUUGUCUCUGCAAAUCCAACACAAACGUACUCAGGAUUAUCUCAGGCCACUGUCCUUGCAGCACUGACCAUUAUCUCGAUGGAAGAACGAGCUCCUCUGGUCAGAGAGCAUAAAGCGGCGGCUAAAUUCGUGUCUUUCCCCACCCACCCACCGCACCCUUUAAUGAUAGAUAACCCCCGCAGUGGUGUAACCAGCGCGCGCGCCCAAAGCCGUCUUGUCCCUCGAAUGCGCUCACCGCCGGCAACACUUGGAGAAUCCAGCCCACAGUGGUUUCGAAAACCCCAUUUUCCUGAUUGCAGCUCAGACUGUGGAACCCCGAGAGCCUCCCCAAAGAGGGAGCGUGAAUCGGGCCAAGUAGUGGGUCGGGGACACACACGCACGCACGCACGCAUAUGCACACAGAGGCAGAGCAGUGCUUCAUAGGACCUAAGAUCCAGGGUGGCUGGAAAGGGAUCUGGGAGGCCACGUCUGAAGGAGCCAGCAAGGCCCUGGUGCUGCCUCUGCCAGAGUCGUGCAGCCACUGAAGCAGCCUGAUCCUGAUAGUUAUUUUGGGGGGAAAAACACCUGGAACCCAGGUUUGAGCUAAAGAAAGUAAGGGCAAGUGACAGAUGAUCAAGCAUUUCUUUGAAAUGAGGAAGAACUGAGAACUACCCAGCUGGCCUGGCCUUAGGGCAAACUGGACCUUAGGAAACUACUCUCUUCGCACACACAGCAGCACACAUCCUCCGAUGGCAAGUUCACCGGUGCCCAGCAAGGGCCACUGCACCUCCUAACUGCUUUUUCAGCCUCCUCCAGGUUUUGCCAGGCAAAUGAAACAAGAACUCAAUAGUAAAUUAUUUUGUUCAGACUUCUGUCUUUUUAUGAAAAUAAAAGGCAACACUUUGUCAUUUUUAAUCAUAUAAGCAGACAAUAAACCUAAUCUUGAUAUUGAUUUUUCCAGAAUCAA
ensembl:lncRNA